UACCAAGGCGCUUGAGAGAACUCGGGUGAAGGAACUAGGCAAAAUGGUGCCGUAACUUCGGGAGAAGGCACGCUGAUAUGUAGGUGAAGUCCCUCGCGGAUGGAGCUGAAAUCAGUCGAAGAUACCAGCUGGCUGCAACUGUUUAUUAAAAACACAGCACUGUGCAAACACGAAAGUGGACGUAUACGGUGUGACGCCUGCCCGGUGCCGGAAGGUUAAUUGAUGGGGUCAGCGCAAGCGAAGCUCUUGAUCGAAGCCCCGGUAAACGGCGGCCGUAACUAUAACGGUCCUAAGGUAGCGAAAUUCCUUGUCGGGUAAGUUCCGACCUGCACGAAUGGCGUAAUGAUGGCCAGGCUGUCUCCACCCGAGACUCAGUGAAAUUGAACUCGCUGUGAAGAUGCAGUGUACCCGCGGCAAGACGGAAAGACCCCGUGAACCUUUACUAUAGCUUGACACUGAACAUUGAGCCUUGAUGUGUAGGAUAGGUGGGAGGCUUUGAAGUGUGGACGCCAGUCUGCAUGGAGCCGACCUUGAAAUACCACCCUUUAAUGUUUGAUGUUCUAACGUGGACCCGUGAUCCGGGUUGCGGACAGUGUCUGGUGGGUAGUUUGACUGGGGCGGUCUCCUCCUAAAGAGUAACGGAGGAGCACGAAGGUUGGCUAAUCCUGGUCGGACAUCAGGAGGUUAGUGCAAUGGCAUAAGCCAGCUUGACUGCGAGCGUGACGGCGCGAGCAGGUGCGAAAGCAGGUCAUAGUGAUCCGGUGGUUCUGAAUGGAAGGGCCAUCGCUCAACGGAUAAAAGGUACUCCGGGGAUAACAGGCUGAUACCGCCCAAGAGUUCAUAUCGACGGCGGUGUUUGGCACCUCGAUGUCGGCUCAUCACAUCCUGGGGCUGAAGUAGGUCCCAAGGGUAUGGCUGUUCGCCAUUUAAAGUGGUACGCGAGCUGGGUUUAGAACGUCGUGAGACAGUUCGGUCCCUAUCUGCCGUGGGCGCUGGAGAACUGAGGGGGGCUGCUCCUAGUACGAGAGGACCGGAGUGGACGCAUCACUGGUGUUCGGGUUGUCAUGCCAAUGGCACUGCCCGGUAGCUAAAUGCGGAAGAGAUAAGUGCUGAAAGCAUCUAAGCACGAAACUUGCCCCGAGAUGAGUUCUCCCUGACCCUUUAAGGGUCCUGAAGGAACGUUGAAGACGACGACGUUGAUAGGCCGGGUGUGUAAGCGCAGCGAUGCGUUGAGCUAACCGGUACUAAUGAACCGUGAGGCUUAACCUU
rnacentral:rRNA from 1 species